UAUAGCUUGACACUGAACAUUGAGCCUUGAUGUGUAGGAUAGGUGGGAGGCUUUGAAGUGUGGACGCCAGUCUGCAUGGAGCCGACCUUGAAAUACCACCCUUUAAUGUUUGAUGUUCUAACGUGGACCCGUAAUCCGGGUUGCGGACAGUGUCUGGUGGGUAGUUUGACUGGGGCGGUCUCCUCCUAAAGAGUAACGGAGGAGCACGAAGGUUGGCUAAUCCUGGUCGGACAUCAGGAGGUUAGUGCAAUGGCAUAAGCCAGCUUGACUGCGAGCGUGACGGCGCGAGCAGGUGCGAAAGCAGGUCAUAGUGAUCCGGUGGUUCUGAAUGGAAGGGCCAUCGCUCAACGGAUAAAAGGUACUCCGGGGAUAACAGGCUGAUACCGCCCAAGAGUUCAUAUCGACGGCGGUGUUUGGCACCUCGAUGUCGGCUCAUCACAUCCUGGGGCUGAAGUAGGUCCCAAGGGUAUGGCUGUUCGCCAUUUAAAGUGGUACGCGAGCUGGGUUUAGAACGUCGUGAGACAGUUCGGUCCCUAUCUGCCGUGGGCGCUGGAGAACUGAGGGGGGCUGCUCCUAGUACGAGAGGACCGGAGUGGACGCAUCACUGGUGUUCGGGUUGUCAUGCCAAUGGCACUGCCCGGUAGCUAAAUGCGGAAGAGAUAAGUGCUGAAAGCAUCUAAGCACGAAACUUGCCCCGA
rnacentral:rRNA from 1 species